UACGGGGGGGGCAAGCGUUGUUCGGAAUUACUGGGCGUAAAGGGCUCGUAGGUGGCCAACUAAGUCGGACGUGAAAUCCCUCAGCUUAACUGGGGAACUGCGUCCGAUACUGGAUGGCUUGAGUUUGGGAGAGGGAUGCGGAAUUCCAGGUGUAGCGGUGAAAUGCGUAGAUAUCUGGAGGAACACCGGUGGCGAAGGCGGCGACCUGGGUAGAUACUGACGCUGAGGCGCGAAAGCGUGGGGAGCAAACAGG
rnacentral:rRNA from 1 species